UGUGGUCCAACUCUGUCAAACUUUCCCCCUUGUGUACAGUACAAAAGGUACAUAUACAAGGGAAACAUUAUAUCUUGCUCUCAAGGCAACAACUGCUUUGAUGUUGAGGGCAAGGUUGCCAUUGUGAAGAACACUGUGGAGUUUGCAUCUGGAGAAAUGUAUGCUGUGUGCCAGUUUUACAAGAGACAAGGAUGCUUUUACGAUUAUCCUAUUGACGUUACGUGUAUGGGGAUCAGAAAGGUUACACAGCUUGAUGAUGGGCUUCAUGGUGUGCUUCUGACUGACUUGACAAAAAGACUGAUACUGCUUCCUGUUCAAGAUGAAAAUGUAGUCUUUCCCCAGUUACAUGACUGUUGAUCUACCUCAUAUGAACUUUGCAGCAUGCCCCUCUUCAGCAUUGUGGAGUUCAGGGGGGAAGUGUCAAGUGAAGGAAGGGCUCUUGUGGAUAUUAUUCCAUCAUGUUGGUUCACUGAUGAGGACAAGACGGACUGUUUUUGGCCAGUAGGCCACAAUCUUAAUAUCACCAAGGCAGUGAAACAACGUCAACAGCCAGAUGCCUCAUGGGGGACAUACAGUGUGCGUGCACUUGGACAUGCAGACACAUAUGAGGAUGCCCGUCGCAAGCUCGCACGAGCAGAGGCUACUUCUGAUCUUCAAACAGACGACGAUAUACCAAAGAAGAGACAAAGAAGGCGAUCCAUGAAAGCCCUGCCUCUUGAAACAAGUGAAGAGGAAUCUGAUACAUGUGGUGACGAUGAAUUGCCUCCUACUCCUCCUAUUGAAUUUGGUAGCCGUUUUAAAGCAUAUAAACCAAGUGUAAGUGUGAGAGGAACCAGCCAUGAUGCUUGCGCAGCAAGCAUCAGUACACCAUCCAGAGUAAAUGACUAUAGUGCCACCCCGACUCUAAGAAGCCCGAGUACCAUCCCGACUCUGAGAAGCCCAAGUACCAUCCCGACUCUGAGAAGCCCGAGUACCAUCCCGACUCUGAGAAGCCCGAGUACCAUCCCGACUCCAAGAAGCCCCAUUACCACCCCAGCUCUGAGAAGCGCCAGUGCCACCCCGAGUCCAAGAAGCUCCAGUGUAUAAAAUUGAUAACUUUACUUGAGGAAGUGAAGGACACACAGAGAGUGCAUGGCAAAAUGCUUAACACUUUGUUGAAGCAAAGAGAGGCUUUGACAUUGCCAGAACCACCACAGGGAGCAGUGUUUCCAUUAACAACUAUUGAUGAUGUCCAGGCCAUGAACGAGAAACUGUCAGACUCGGAGUUCAUGUCAGGGGUUGUCGCCAUGGUUGGAGAAAUUGGAGGUUCAACGAUAGAUGAUGCAACCCGAAGAAUGAUGGCAUUUAUAAUGUCACCUGACCUGGCACUGCAAUACAACCUCUUUGGACGUCAUGGAAAGAAACCCUUAAGGGAGCUACGUCUAUUUGACCUUGUUUAUGGUAUUUCUCUUUAAAAUUAAGUAUCUAAUAGAGUGGAAGUCUUAUGUCAAAGGUUUGAACAAUGAUUUAAAUGUGAGGUUAAAAGUUCAUGUCCAAAAUGUAGUUGGCUGUCAGACUCCAGCCUUCAGCUUUAGCAAGGCAUUUGGCAAUCUAAAUUGGUUUGCUGUGUGAUCAAGCACUAUUUAAAAAAAAUAGGUGGCAUUCACACUGGGGCCCUGGUCCUGGGUCCAAUUUCGCUUGAGCCCAAAGUCUUGGUAGUUUUGGUCAGAAACAAACUGCACCCAGGCACCAGGACAGAGCGUUGUCAGCCUUAUGAAGUCAUCAUAAACUAAACUCUUUUCACUGAACAGCAGUUUGUCUACAUUUUUCCUUAAUAAAAGGUGGAAGUCAUCAGAAUCAUGUCAAUAUGUGGAGUGUUAUGACUUACCUUACAGAUGAACACAAGUUGGAGU